GAUAUGAGAGUAAGAAUAAACUCCUCGGAUGGCUAGCUCCGAUCAGAGCAAAGGACUUUUGGAAGUAUGAACACCAAUGCAAAUGGAGGUGCAUCGACACGUGUUCCAGGAAGAGACAAUCGAAGAAAAAUCAAGCCCGCCAAAAUUUUUUGUUCAGCUUGGAGACCAACUCCCAAGAAAAAGAGGACGUCCGCGGAAACAUGACAUAUCUCUAAAGCAGGGUCAAAUACAGAUCGUACAAAAAGCUCCAGGCUCACUCCCUGGACAGUUGGUUCCAAGGAAGAGAGGCCGUCCUAGGAAAGUGUCAUUGGGUACUCCAGUAAUCCCUCGCACUGGUCCUGGUCCAGGGCGCCCUAGAAAAUUACCGUUGUUAAAUUAUCCAGUAAUUCCACGCAUUGGUCGCGGCCCAGGGCGUCCCAGAAAUUACCGGUUAGUCACCCUCCUUUUACCCACCCUUUUCUGUUUUCGAAAGAAAAUCUGGCCGAAUAUUUAGGUCAUUGAUAGGGUAGCUUUAAAUCAAAAGGACAAAAUACAUCAUGACCUAGUAUUUAGUAAAUUGGACGGAUUUAAAUCAAAAUGAAUUAUUCCAUUGAGACUUCGGCCCUAGGUUUUUUAAGCAUAUGUACAUAAAUAAUAAGGCUUAUGUUACUAUGGAGAUAAUUCUGUAAUAAUUGAAAUAUGUAAAUCCAAUAGAUUAUUAGCUGCAAACAAGAUACAUGUGUUUGCAGUUACACCAUUGAUAUGCUUUCCUUCGAUCCCUCCCUAAUUAUAAGAUCUCAUUAGUCUCAGAAAGCUAAAGUCUUUGAGCUGGAAAGAUCAAGAAAACACUUAAUUCUAUGGAAGGAGAGCACUCUAUGCAAUUACCCAAGACAGUUCUCAGGUGGAAGUUUCUUACUUUGAAAUCUUCCUCCGCCAGUUAUUUUUAAGGUGAUAGACCUUGACAAAAAAAAUUAUAAAAAACCUGUGUGGAUCAUAAAUUUCAAAAAGUCUAGAAAUCACUAGAUCUAAAGAACUUAAAAUCAUAUAAAUAAAAAAUGCCAAAUUAACUAGUUGAUAUAUUAUCUGAACGUAUAAUUAUGUUAACUUUAACAGGAACGCAACCUUCAUCUUUCAGAAGAAAAUGAGAUGGGAGUAGUUUUGAAUUCAGGCAAACUGAAAUUUUCUAUUGUCAAACAUUUCUAGUCGAGAAAAGUAUUUUAAAUGUGAAAAUAGUUGUUAAACUUAGUCUUCAAUAUUGAGUCUUGUGGAGCAGUAAAACUCCAAACCUUUUCUCGUUUUGAACUUCAUGCGAUUUGGUGCACUUCAUGCGAUUUGGGUUCCGCUGAACUUGCUCCAUUGCAUUUAAGAUUAAAUUAUUUAAUAUUGGAAUGUCCAUAAAUCUUAUUUGAAAUUAUUUCAAUAAUUGUAUUUAUCUGUUUUAAAAGCUUAAAUUUAAUAUACCCUCUAUUUUAUCUUUUAUAGCCCUAUGCUAGGGCUGUUUACGCAACUAAAGAAAUUAUGUACUGCGUAUAAAUUAAGACAAUAUCAUGCUCAAUUUGCCUUUUGCUUGAACAUUCUCAGGUGAUAACGCGUACUCAAAUAAAAUGAACAAAAACUACAGAUAGGAACUACAGGAAAGCUGUCCUAAUUUGAUACAAUGAAGUUGAGAAGAAAACUUCUAUGCCUCAUACGUUCGUGUUUCGCUUGUUUCAGGUUCCUCCACCCCGAGAAGACUCAAAUGACGGUCUCAGUGAUAUCAGUCAAAUUCUUGCCAACUGUGCCUCCUAUACAGAACUAGAGCUCCCUCCGUCUCUUUUUAAUUGAGCCAUUUCUACGAAUGAUUAACAACUACCACUAUUAUAUAAUUUUUGUUUAUUUUAAGUUUCACUUCAAAACUUCUGAGUGUUCCCUUUAAAGCCUCGUAACAACAGUGCCACUAGGAGGAUGCUGAUCUCAAUUUACUGUUGUCCAAAUCCCUGAUUACUGUCAAGGAAAUUAUGCCCUACAGUUGAUUUACCCUCUUGUCCUAUCUAUUUAAGUUCUUAAGAAACAUGUCCAUAUCGCUUUUGGAAUUAUGUAACAUAAUUUUUUUCGCUGUAAUUUCAAUAAAACUUGGAGAAUUGGGGGAAGUCAGGUGAUAAAAUUGACUCAAAAACACUCCGGUACACACAGGGUGGUACCAAAAUUUUUUUUAAGAAGAAUUGGAAUUUAUUCUCUUCAUUUUCUAGUAUUUUGUGUGUAUUAAGACUCUUGAGACAAAGAUUUUAGAGGAUUAUGAAUUUGGAAGGGAAAUUGAGCAUGUUGAGGAUAAUUUCCUGUUAUGAAACGACGAUUUUCUAAAAUCCGUGUUCAAAUUUUCUUGAAAUUUCUAAUAUUUUUUUCUUCUAAAGUCUGUAGAAAUCUCAAUCUCUUGCGUUAAUUGUUUUGAACUUUGUUGUAUUAUAAACGUAUUUAUGCUUAAUCUCUUGUCCUACCAAAUGCAAAAUUAUGAUGUAAGUUAUUGUUUUUCUAUUUUUAUUUCAACUAUUUUGUAAAAGUAGAUUUUAUCGCCAGCGUUGUAUUUAACCCAGUAUAUUAAUGGGAAAAUUUGAGAAACUAAGUACUUGAUCACAGCAUUUCAGAAUCUCCGCUGUUGUUUCAUGAACUUUGCUGUUUGAAAACUUCUAAGGAUAUGUUGCAGAGGAUGAAGAAAAUUCUUAGAAAAAAAUGUCAUUAUGAAAAAACGAACAAAAUAAUUUUCAUUAGGUCAAAAGAAACAAACCACCUCCAACAAGGCGAAUCAGCAGACAUGUUUUUUGACUGCUAUCAUCGAUACUCAUCAUGGUAUUCAUUUCAGUGUGCGUUACAUUUAGUAUUCAUCACAGUGUAUUUUGGAAAUCAGAUGGAUAAACUAUCUCCUCUUUUAAUACUUACCUUGUAGUGCUGGAUUUUACAACUGUAUAAUUUUGUUAAUAAACGUUCAAAUAUUUGUUGUUUUAAUGCUGUUUUUAUCAACAAUCAUCGUAGUCAAGCUUUUGCUUCAGCAAAGAAUAUCGACGGUGAAACUUGAGUUAAAACCCAACUCGAGGUGACUCCCAAACAACUUAUCUCAGUUUGCGAUGUUGCAGACUUUCCUGCCAUGUUUUAUUUUUAAAUGGAAAAGUACUCAACGGCUAUUUUUAAAAAAAAUGCCAUAAUUUUUCUUCUCCAAGCGAAGAAAAUUCCGUCAAACCUUCAAGGAAUGAUGUUCAUUCGUGCACCUGUAAAAAAGUAAAAUGGGAGCGGAGAUUUUACCACUGCAGAUGAGAUACGUGCUUUGGAAGUUUCACCGUUUAUAUACUGCAACAUUUUUGUAGCAAAAUUUCAUGGAACCAACUCUUGUCAUUAGAUUAUUUACCCAAAGAAUUAGGUCAGGGACUAUCAAAUACCCACUCAGCAUAGAACCUUAAUACAAUCUUAGUAUAAUAUUGCACAUCUUACACAUCAACAUUGCAGCCAUAUUAUAUCCAUCUCACAGUAAGAAUGAGGUAAGAUUGCAUCAAUGUGAUGUGCUACUGCUAGGGACUUGCCUGAACAUUGCAAC
rnacentral:lncRNA from 1 species